GAUGAACGCUGGCGGCGUGCCUAAUACAUGCAAGUCGAGCGAACGGACGAGAAGCUUGCUUCUCUGAUGUUAGCGGCGGACGGGUGAGCAACACGUGGAUAACCUACCUAUAAGACUUGGAUAACUUCGGGAAACCGGAGCUAAUACCGGAUAAUAUUUUGAACCGCAUGGUUCAAAAGUGAAAGACGGUCUUGCUGUCACUUAUAGAUGGAUCCGCGCUGCAUUAGCUAGUUGGUAAGGUAACGGCUUACCAAGGCAACGAUGCAUAGCCGACCUGAGAGGGUGAUCGGCCACACUGGAAGUGAGACACGGUCCAGACUCCUACGGGAGGCAGCAGUAGGGAAUCUUCCGCAAUGGGCGAAAGCCUGACGGAGCAACGCCGCGUGAGUGAUGAAGGUCUUCGGAUCGUAAAACUCUGUUAUUAGGGAAGAACAUAUGUGUAAGUAACUGUGCACAUCUUGACGGUACCUAAUCAGAAAGCCACGGCUAACUACGUG
rnacentral:rRNA from 1 species